rnacentral:rRNA from 1 species
GACGAACCGUGCGAACGUUAUUCGGAAUCACUGGGCUUAAAGCGCGUGUAGGCGGGAGGGCACGUCCGUCGCUGAAAUCCCCCGGCUCAACCGGGGAACGGGCGCGGAUACGACCUUCCUUGAGGGGCGUAGGGGGACCUGGAACCUCCGGUGGAGCGGUGAAAUGCGUUGAGAUCGGAAGGAACGCCCGUGGCGAAAGCGGCUCACUGGACCAUUACUGACGCUGAUGCACGAAAGCUAGGGGAGCAAACAGG